GACAGAGGUCCCGAGCGUUAGGCGGAAUCACUGGGCUUAAAGCGUGUGUAGGCGGACUUCUAAGUACCUUGUGAAAAUCCCCCAGGCUCAACCUGGGGAACUGCGUCUGAUACUGGAUGGCUUGAAUCCGGGGAGAGGGAUGCAGAAUUCCAGGUGUAGCGGUGAAAUGCGUAGAUAUCUGGAGGAAUACCGGUGGCGAAGGCGGCAUCCUGGACCGGCAUUGACGCUGAGGAGCGAAAGCCAGGGAGCAAAGCGGG
rnacentral:rRNA from 1 species